CAGAUUGUAAAAGAGAGCCACUACAGCCCUAUUUGUGGGGCUAGGUGUGGAAGUGCUUGGCCUGACAACUGUACUCCUUUAGCCAUGGUGCUGACUGUGCGGGGCCUCAUUUUACUCUUUCUUGUGUUGGCUCCUUAAGAAACAAGUUGAGGAAGGAUUAAACAUUGGGAUAAAGCUCCGCUGCUGUGAACGGUAUCGGCCACAUAAAGGUCUGCCUUGUACAUGUAAUCGAAUGCACCCUAUACGCUUGCAUUACAUUGGCACACUUAGAUGCUGGACCCCACGCCACCUGCAUACAUACCUGGCACCUGGCAAUCAGGUGACAGAUGACUGGAUGUUGGAGACAUAUCGAGCCCCUUAUUGUCAUAAUAUCUGCACUCUUGGAACAUUGAUGAAGGUCCAAGCAAGACGGUCAGAUUGUGGAAUCAAAGAGGGCCAGCAGUCUACAACCUAUAGAAGAGGAGUUUAAAAAAAUGAGCACUUGCUGUCAAGUGGAUAAAAGCAGAGAUGGUAGUGAGAGUGGAAGAAACGUGCUGUCCAUCCAGGACAAGUCUGUUCUGCAGGGACUGGUGGAGAGAGGCAAGCAGGGGUGAAGAGGCUUGCCAAGGGCCACAACAUACUGCCAGCAACUGGAUUUGAACCUCCAACCCUAUGAUUGGAAACCAUAGUCCCUUACCACUUGGCCACACGAAAGAGAUAUCCUGGCAGAAGGAGUUUUCGUUAUGGUUGCUGCAUCAGAGGCUCCGCUGUAAAAUGCUGACCAGUCAUAGAGGGCGCUAUUACCACUCCAUGAAACCUACUACACUGUACAUUAUACAAUGGUAAUG